rnacentral:rRNA from 1 species
UUAACAAAAACAUGUCCUUUUGAUUGGUGUUUAAGGUCUGAUCUGCCCUAUGAUUAAUAAUUUAAAUGGCCGCGAUAUUUUGAUCGUGCGAAGGUAGCAUAAUCAUUAGUUUUUUAAUUGAAAGCUGGUAUGAAUGAUUGGACAAGAAGCUUUCUGUCUCAAAUUUAUUUUUUGAAUUUUAUUUUUUAGUUAAAAAGCUCAAAUUAGCUUGUAAGACGAGAAGACCCUAUAGAGUUUAAUAUUUUUAUUUACAUUUAAAUUUUAGGAUUAAUAAUUUUUUUGUUUUAUAAAGUAUUUGGUUGGGGUGACAGGAAAAUUUAUUAAACUUUUUUUAUAUAAAAUAUAGAUUUAUAGGUUGUUGACUUAUAUUAAUAGUUAAAAGAAUAAAUUACCUUAGGGAUAACAGCGUAAUUUUUCUAAAGAGUU